CCUACGGGAGGCAGCAGUGGGGAAUUUUGGACAAUGGGCGAAAGCCUGAUCCAGCAAUGCCGCGUGAGUGAAGAAGGCCUUCGGGUUGUAAAGCUCUUUUGUCAGGGAAGAAACGGUGAGAGCUAAUAUCUCUUGCUAAUGACGGUACCUGAAGAAUAAGCACCGGCUAACUACGUGCCAGCAGCCGCGGUAAUACGUAGGGUGCAAGCGUUAAUCGGAAUUACUGGGCGUAAAGCGUGCGCAGGCGGUUUUGUAAGUCUGAUGUGAAAUCCCCGGGCUCAACCUGGGAAUUGCAUUGGAGACUGCAAGGCUAGAAUCUGGCAGAGGGGGGUAGAAUUCCACGUGUAGCAGUGAAAUGCGUAGAUAUGUGGAGGAACACCGAUGGCGAAGGCAGCCCCCUGGGUCAAGAUUGACGCUCAUGCACGAAAGCGUGGGGAGCAAACAGGAUUAGAUACCCUGGUAGUCCACGCCCUAAACGAUGUCUACUAGUUGUCGGGUCUUAAUUGACUUGGUAACGCAGCUAACGCGUGAAGUAGACCGCCUGGGGAGUACGGUCGCAAGAUUAAAACGUCAAAUUGAAUUGAGGCNGAGAGNGCGAGGACGACGACGAGGGAGGAGG
rnacentral:rRNA from 1 species